CGGACGGGUGAGUAAUACUUAGGAAUCUGCCCAUUAGUGGGGGACAACAUUCGGAAACGGAUGCUAAUACCGCAUACGCCCUACGGGGGAAAGCGGGGGAUCUUCGGACCUCGCGCUAAUGGAUGAGCCUAAGUCGGAUUAGCUUGUUGGUGAGGUAAUGGCUCACCAAGGCGACGAUCCGUAGCUGGUCUGAGAGGACGAUCAGCCACACUGGGACUGAGACACGGCCCAG
rnacentral:rRNA from 1 species